AGAAUCAACGCUGGCGGCGUGCCUAACACAUGCAAGUCGAACGAGGAAAGUGGUAGACGAAUACCAUAGAGUAAAGUGGCGCACGGGUGAGUAACACGUGACUAACCUACCCCUGGAGUGGGGGAUAACUGAGGGAAACCUUAGCUAAUACCGCAUAAUACCUACGGGUCAAAGGAGCAAUUCGCUUUGGGAGGGGUCGCGGCCGAUUAGCUAGUUGGCGGGGUAAGUGGCCCACCAAGGCGAUGAUCGGUA
rnacentral:rRNA from 1 species